AGCGAACGCUGGCGGCAUGCUUAACACAUGCAAGUCGCACGGGCGGGGGCAACUCCGUCAGUGGCGGACGGGUGAAUAACGCGUAGGAAUCUAUCCUUGAAUGGGGGACAACCGUGGGAAACUACGGCUAAUACCGCAUGAUGCCUGAGGGCCAAAGACGAAAGUCGUUUGAGGAGGAGCCUGCGUCUGAUUAGGUAGUUGGUGGGGUAAAGGCCUACCCAAGCCUACGAUCAGUAGCUGGUCUGAGAGGAUGAUCAGCCACAUUGGGACUGAGACACGGCCCAAACUCCUACGGGAGGCAGCAGUGGGGAAUAUUGGACAAUGGGCGCAAGCCUGAUCCAGCAAUGCCGCGUGGGUGAAGAAGGUCUUCGGAUUGUAAAGCCCUUUUGGCGGGGACGAUGAUGACGGUACCCGCAGAAUAAGCUCCGGCUAACUUCGUG
rnacentral:rRNA from 1 species